UACAGAGGCCCCAAGCGUUAGGCGGCAUCACUGGGCUUAAAGCGUGUGUAGGCGGAUCGUUAAGUGUCUUGUGAAAUCCCACGGCUCACCCGUGGAACUGCUGGGCAUACUGGCGAUCUUGGGCCAACUAGGGGCAGCCGGAACAAGCGGUGGAGCGGUGAAAUGCGUAGAUAUGCGGAGGAACACCGAUGGCGAAGGCAAUCCCCUGGACCUGUACUGACGCUCAUGCACGAAAGCGUGGGGAGCAAACAGG
rnacentral:rRNA from 1 species